rnacentral:rRNA from 1 species
CUUAACACAUGCAAGUCGAACGAUGAACCACUUCGGUGGGGAUUAGUGGCGAACGGGUGAGUAACACGUGGGCAAUCUGCCCUGCACUCUGGGACAAGCCCUGGAAACGGGGUCUAAUACCGGAUACUGACCAUCUUGGGCAUCUUUGAUGGUCGAAAGCUCCGGCGGUGCAGGAUGAGCCCGCGGCCUAUCAGCUAGUUGGUGAGGUAAUGGCUCACCAAGGCGACGACGGGUAGCCGGCCUGAGAGGGCGACCGGCCACACUGGGACUGAGACACGGCCCAGACUCCUACGGGAGGCAGCAGUGGGGAAUAUUGCACAAUGGGCGAAAGCCUGAUGCAGCGACGCCGCGUGAGGGAUGACGGCCUUCGGGUUGUAAACCUCUUUCAGCAGGGAAGAAGCGAAAGUGACGGUACCUGCAGAAGAAGCGCCGGCUAACUACGUGCCAGCAGCCGCGGUAAUACGUAGGGCGCAAGCGUUGUCCGGAAUUAUUGGGCGUAAAGAGCUCGUAGGCGGCUUGUCACGUCGGUUGUGAAAGCCCGGGGCUUAACCCCGGGUCUGCAGUCGAUACGGGCAGGCUAGAGUUCGGUAGGGGAGAUCGGAAUUCCUGGUGUAGCGGUGAAAUGCGCAGAUAUCAGGAGGAACACCGGUGGCGAAGGCGGAUCUCUGGGCCGAUACUGACGCUGAGGAGCGAAAGCGUGGGGAGCGAACAGGAUUAGAUACCCUGGUAGUCCACGCCGUAAACGGUGGGCACUAG